GGGGAUGUGGCUCAGUGGUGGAGCUCUUGCUUUGCAUGCACAAGGCCCUGGGUUUGAUUCCCAACACCACCA
rnacentral:tRNA from 1 species